GGACACUAACUCAGCAUGGGUUUCCGCAUUUGCACGAAUUUGGGGAAUUUCCCUUCUUCGCUUCUACCUCCUUGCUGCAGGGUGUUUUGACCACGAGCCCAGAAUGCGGUUUGGGCGAUGUCGGGCGGUUUGUUCUCUCCGUCUAUUUAGCAAGUUUGUUUCCUUUUAAGGGAGACAGCGAACCGCCUGUCUAAUCUACUUCCGCUGCAGCUGCACCAGGGAGCAACACAGGAAUUUAGCAGGAACACUGGAAGAAACCACAGACCUUUCUAAAGAAGCAGUGGGCAGCGGCCUACCCCAUGAGCCAGGCAGAAAACGGAGCACCUAUGAGUCUUAGAUUUUGGACAACGCUCCUUUCCCCACUCAAGAUGAUAUUGCAAAUCUCCGUCCGGAGCUUCUCUCAACCCGUGACCGUCUCCUGAGUCAGCUGGCUGGCUUCUGCAAGGUCCCCUGUGAGGACGGAGUUUCACUCUCGUUGCCCAGGCUGAAGUGCAAUGGCGCGAUCUUGGCUCACUGC